CUUCUUCGAUCUGCUGCGGGGCGAUGAAAUGGAUAUGCGCAUCCAUGCCGCCGGCGGUGAUGAUGCGGCCCUCCGAGGCGAUCACCUCGGUCGAUGGCCCGAUGAUGAUGUCGACAUUGGGCUGGGUGUCGGGGUUGCCGGCCUUGCCGAUGGCGUGGAUCCGCCCGUCGCGGAGGCCAAUGUCGGCCUUGUAGAUGCCGGUGUGAUCGAUGAUCAGCGCAUUGGUGAUCACCGUAUCGACAGCUCCCGCGGCGCGGGUAACCUGGCUUUGGCCCAUGCCGUCGCGGAU
rnacentral:sRNA from 1 species